rnacentral:rRNA from 1 species
GCCUGGAAGUAAACAUGACCAUGCCAAAAAAGUACAAGCAACAGCUUUAAACUUAAAAGACCUGGCGGUGCUCAAAACCAAUCUAGAGGAGCUUGUUACGUAAUCGAUAGUCCCCGAUAAACCUUACCCUCUCUAGAACAUAUCAGCCUAUAUACCGCCGUCGACAGCCCAUUCCACAAGGAAUGCAGCAAGAUCAGACCCAACCUCUAACACGACAGGUCAAGGCGUAGCUAAUGAGAAGGAGAACAAUGAGCUACAUUACUACACACAAACAAAAACUGCCCUGAAACUCAAGCAGUCAAAGAAGGAUUUAGCAGUAAGAAGAAUAAGAGCGCUCUUCUGACCAACGCUCUUGAGCACGU